CAGCCCUAUAGGAGACACCUCCAGAGAAAGUAACAACUCUCAGUUGAUUAGCUGAGGAAGACACCAAAUGAGCUACACUGUUUUGGACUCCCCAACACAACCCAGCCACCGGCUGAAUGCCACCAAAUUACCUUCUAGUUAAAGCUUUAUGGAGCAAACGAAUCACCUAUUCAAUAUCUGCUUGAAUUUCUGACUCAAAAUAUAUCAGGUAUGUACUGUGUGACUUAAAUAUUGAGUUUAUUUUUAUCAAGUACCUGUCAAGAAAGAAAGUCAAUUCUGAAACAGCAAAAGCUCAAAGUUCUACAGAUGGCUUUCAAAGGAAUUUGAAUUAGACAUCAUUUGAUGUUGCAAAAAACAAUGAUAUCUUUUAUAGCUCUAAACAUCAGUUUUUAAAUCAGAGAUUGAUCUAUAAAGGAGCUAAGUUUGCAUAAUCAUUAUUCAUUUUAAGAUAAUAAUAUAUGAUAGGUACUAAGUUAUAUAGUAGUUUUGUGUAGAGAUUUAUACAUAUUUUCUGAUUGCCAUCAUCACAUCAUCUAAUUAUUUAGAAAUUUCAUUUUCAGAACCUUGGAUUUUGGACAUAGAGCUUUAAAAAAAAUUGUACUUUAUUUUGAGAUGAAAAUAUGGUCAUUCACAUUUCCCCAGACCUGCGUGGAGCAAUCUGCAGGGUGGGGGUGAGAUUUGGGAGUAGAGGGGAGGUGGUAAUAGACACACACAAAACUUGUUAAUUGCUAUACAAGAAGCAUGUGCUUUAAAAACGACAAUAACAAUCACAAAACCAAUU
rnacentral:lncRNA from 1 species